rnacentral:rRNA from 1 species
UACGUAGGUGGCAAGCGUUAUCCGGAUUUAUUGGGCGUAAAGCGAGCGCAGGCGGUUGUUUAGGUCUGAUGUGAAAGCCUUCGGCUUAACCGAAGAAGUGCAUCGGAAACCGGGCGACUUGAGUGCAGAAGAGGACAGUGGAACUCCAUGUGUAGCGGUGGAAUGCGUAGAUAUAUGGAAGAACACCAGUGGCGAAGGCGGCUGUCUGGUCUGCAACUGACGCUGAGGCUCGAAAGCAUGGGUAGCGAAC